UUCUUUCACUGAAGGAUACACGGCAGAGGGACGCGCUGCGAGCUGAUUGGAUAGGGGUGGCGCUCAGGUGAGCUGCCAUUGGAAGAGACGCGCUCAGAGCAUAUGAAGCAAUAAAUGACUGGUGAGAAUGAUUAACAGCUGAAGAAAAGAGGAGGUGUUGAACCAUUCUGAAGAGCUAUUUAUUGUCUACGACAGUUCACAAGGAUUUGCUGUACCUCCUUGGGGUAGUCGACCUCCGAAGGCAUCAGCCAGUCACCAUCCAUAUGUGGAGGUGGAGAGAGUGUAUAUCCGGAUGGUGACUGUGGCCGUACUGCUGUGUCCGGUCUGGUGGGAGGCUUUAUGGUGGGUGAACACUCAUCCGCAGAAGGUACAUGUAUGCCUAAUGUCUUCAGAGUGGCUCGAGUCCUCCAGUGUGUGGAGGGAAGCGUUGGAGGACUCAGCAAAUAGCUCCUCAAACGGUAGAUCUUCCAUGAUUGCACCUCCCUUGGGACGCCAGACUAUUGGUGCCACGACGCCCGCCUCAUAACUAUUGCCGACCCUAAGGACCUUGAGGCCGUGUCAGCUGAGUCCAGUGCUGUCUGCAGGGCUGUUCUGACAAUCUAUGCCCUCUCCUUCAUGUUCGCACUGUAUUGUUCCUUUUGGUUGUCAGGAAGCUCGGUAAUAAAAGU